UGAACUGCUUUGAAGGAAAAUAAGUAGCUGUCCCUUUCCCUGUUUAUAGAGAGCCGAUGUUUGGUGUGAAUCGGUACAAAAAGGUAAGUGAAUUUCAUUUCUGGAGCUUCUUUUGCAUUGCAAAAGACGGUGAAGAUCGUUAAACAAACAAGUGGUGAGUGUAAACUCACAACCAGGGUGGUACCGCGAUAACAAUCGUCCCUACG
rnacentral:ncRNA from 1 species